GGUUGUGGCUCAGUGGUAGAGCGCUUGCCUCCAACACAUGAGGCCCUGGGUUCAAUCCUCAGCAUCA
rnacentral:tRNA from 1 species